UUGAUUUCUGUGGUUUGACUAUAGAACCCAAACUGGCUCCCACCAGCAAUGGAGAAUCAGGAGACGGUGGAGUGGGGUUGUCUCUGUGAGCUCCAGCGACUCUCUCCUUCCUCUGGGAUCACAGAAUCCAUCUACCAAAGGGGUAAAGCACCAACGAUGCUAAGGACUGCUGUUCUCCACCUGGGAGUUGACUAAAAUGAACGAUCUCUCGGAUUUGUCCAUAGCUUGGAAAAAGGCUUCUUUAAAAAAUUGUGGGAAGGGGCAGCUAGGUGAUUCAGUGAGAGCCAGACCUAAAGAAGGAGGUCAUCAGGUCCUAGCUGUGUGACCCUGGGAAAAAAACAACAAUAUAACAGAUUGGUACAUUGAGAAAGUUUGAAAAUGUGCAAUGCGUAACUUAUAUCUGUGGACUUCCUCCCUCUGCCAAAGGCAUCAAGGAUUCCAGAAGGAGAACCUGGAUUGUAAAUCAUGGAUCUAGAAUCAGAUGAAGCCUCAGAAAUCAUCUGGUCCAACCUUAUCACUUUCCACAAGAGGAAACAGGGAUUCCAAGAAGGUUUCUCAUCUGGCUAAAAAGAGAAGUAGCUAAACAGUUUGGCUCCCGAAGCCUCCAAGGAGUGAUUCCCUAGUUCCUUCCUCACGGGCAUCUGCCCCACUUUCUGAUUCUGAAGGAUUGCUUAAGAGUUUACUGGAUCCAUCUUUAUCUUAGAAAACAAUGGCACCAAUCUCACUUUCUUCUUUAAAGGGCUUCCUUAUUUUUUCAGUUUCUAGAAAGUGUUUGUAAAAGAAAGUUCAUUUAAGAGUCUCUCUGAAUAAACAAGCAUCAGUGGCCUCAGAUCCCAGCAGCCUGGGUCUCAAACCAGCCCUCUAUUGCUUGUGAGAGGGAAAAUGAAAGAAAACACCAGCUUAGAAUUCACAAUUUGUUCUACUCCCAUUUUAGGGAGACGAAUUUCCACAUAAACCUGCUCACAAAUACACACCAACGUGCACAAAUAUCCACACAGCCAUGGGGAAAAAUAUACUGUAAAAACCGUCUUGUUGAGUUUAUAAUCCAGUGUAACUUACUGAGUGCUGAUAAGUAAAGGAAGUUCAACCAGACAGUUUAAUCCUCCAAUUUCCUGUCUUCUAAUCAGCCCCUGACUCUUUGGAUUUUAAAUUAGAACCAUUCCUUAAAUGAUAUUCGGGACAGGUGAAGGAAAGAGAGAGGAGAAAAUCAGCCAGGACAAAGCUUAUAUUUUCCCAUCUAAAGUUCACAGGCGAAACAUGAGGGUAGGAACAGGAAAUAAAGAUGUUUAAAAAGAUAGCCCCAAUACAUGGACCCAGCCUAGCACAUUUCUGAGGACGUUACUUUGGGCUGAUGUGGAUUUGAUUUCUAAAAACCAACCACAAAAUAGACAUAUAAUUGAAAGGGCUGUUUCCCUCUGCCUUCCUUCCCCCAAAGUGAGCAUUACUGCUAAAAAACGUCCCAGAGCCUUGGCUCAGAACAAUAGAAAAUGAUUGUUUUAUUAGACAGAGUGUGAGAAAAAAAAGAAAUUGUAGGAAGCGAUUGUUUGCCAAUUGAAAAGUACCUCCAAUGGUGUCUACUCCAGCGGGUUUAUACUUUUACUAAUCAUUGUAUACAGCCACAUGCAUUUAUAAAUGGAGCUGGAAUAAGAAACCAUAGAUAUAUUUUGAAUGGUCACAUAUGGAGACAUUUCACUCAAAAGAAAUGUCUAAAAAUUGCCUUCUGCGUUCUAACGUGAAAUAGAAAUUAAAAACAAUUUUUUAAGUUAAAAAAAAUUUUUUUUAAACUUGUUCAGAGUGUAUCCUCCCCCUUGGAAGAGUUUAGUCAGGUUUCAGAGGCCCAAGUCCUGCUCAUGUUGACACUUCUCCUAGUUAGCUGGCGAUUAUAGAACACCCUUUCCGGCCUCCAGCUAUUUUGACCAAUAUCUUGAAAGAGAUGGGGCAAAGCGAGGAGAAAAAAGGUCACUCCACCCUGCAUGUAAGCAUUGUUCAGCUCAGAGCUGACACAUUGAAAAUGAAGAUUGUAAACACAACUUCCAAGAUGAAUUGAAAAUAUCCAUCAAAGGCGGGAAAAGGAUCCCAAUGAAAUAUGAGUUCUUAGCUAUGCAUCAGUGAGGCUGCCAUUCAUUCUGCAACUUUGCUGGAGCUGCUGAGGGAUUUAUUGGAAUUGUCAAACUUGGCCUAAAGAUAAUUCACCGAAACAUCUUGUAAGCUUUCUAAAUGGUAGCAACUGUCCUGGGUACCGGAGGGACGCCUUUCUUGACCAAGGAGCUCCCUGAGGAAAAUUGUGCCCUGAGAAUCUGGAUGGAAAGAUGGAUGGCUCUUGAUAGAAAAAAAGACUUCUGGUGACAACAUUUCUCAAAUAAAUGCCAAGGGUCCUAAUAGCAGUUAGGGGAACGGAAGAAGUAAUUCCACAGACUACAUUCCUGCCCACUAUGAUUUUCCCCCUCUUCUUUUGACUGCCGACCAGUAAAUGGUGUUUUGAGAUCAAUUUGUCCCAUAGACCUUGUUAGCAAUCAAGGAAUGGGUGCAUAUGUGGAGAUAUUGACUUUCCUCGAAUAUUUUUGUGUCUGGCAUAUAGGACUCACUCAAAGAAAUAAAGGAUCUGUUAGUGCAAAAUUUCCUCAGCAGCAGGCUUUGUAGCCCAGGCAAUUAAUGUGUCAUUUGCAAACGUGGAAAGUGGAGGGGGAUCUCGGGGAGGUUUUCUCUAUUUUCCUGUCGAGGAGGUUUCAGGGAGAGAUGUCACAACAUCGUUAGGCUAAAUUGAUACGUAAUAUCUAUUUCUUGAUUCGCGUGAUUAAAGCAUUAGAGGGGAGGCUCAGAUUUCAAAAGAUUUCUCAUAAGUGGCAGUGACGGAUGUAAUUAAUGUUAAAAUCUACACAUACCAAGAAGCCAGACUGUUAGUUAAAGACCAAGUUUGUUUACAAGGUUCUUGAAUG